rnacentral:rRNA from 1 species
CAGUCGCCGCGGUAAUACGUAGGGUCCGAGCGUUGUCCGGAAUUAUUGGGCGUAAAGGGCUCGUAGGCGGUUUGUUGCGUCGGGAGUGAAAACCUACAGCUUAACUGUGGGCUUGCUUUCGAUACGGGCAGACUUGAGGCAUUCAGGGGAGAACGGAAUUCCUGGUGUAGCGGUGAAAUGCGCAGAUAUCAGGAGGAACACCGGUGGCGAAGGCGGUUCUCUGGGAAUGUUCUGACGCUGAGGAGCGAAAGUGUGGGGAGCGAACAGGAUUAGAUACCCCCGUAGUCCCUGUCUCUUAUAU